AAUCGAACUAGGAGAUAGCUCGUUCUCUCCGAAAUGCAUCUAGGUGCAGCCUUGAGUGUUCAAUUAUGGGGGUAGAGCACUGAAUGAUCUAGGGGGCAUAUUGCUUACUGAAAUCAAUCAAACUCCGAAUACCAUAAUUUAUAGCUCAGGAGUGAGACUAUGGGAGUUAACUUCCAUUGUCAAAAGGGAAACAACCCAGACCACCAGCUAAGGUCCCUAAUUAUAACUAAGUGGGAAAGGAGGUGGAGAUUCACAAACAACUAGGAGGUUGGCUUAGAAGCAGCCAUACCUUUAAAGAGUGCGUAAUAGCUCACUAGUCGAGAGUCUCUGCGCCGACAAUGUAACGGGGCUAAGUUAUAAACCGAAGCUGUGGAAUCCUUUUGGAUUGGUAGGAGAGCGUUCUGUAGGCCGUUGAAGAAGAAGGGUAACCGACUUUGGAGGUAUCAGAAGUGAGAAUGCAGGAAUAAGUAGCGAGAAAGGGGGCGAGAAUCCCCCUCGCCGGAAGACCAAGGUUUUCAGGGUAAAGCUUGUCUUCCCUGAGUAAGCCGGGACCUAAGCCCAGGCUAUAAUGCGUAGGCGAAUGGAAAACAGAUUAAUAUUUCUGUGCCAGUCAUUUAUUGUGAUGGAGGGACGCAGAAGGGUAUGCGCGCGGACGAUCGGUUGUGUCCGUAGAAGUAUGUAGGAUGACUUAGUAGGUAAAUCCAUUAAGUUAUAUCUGAGGUAUGAUAUACAGUCGUAAGAUGAAUGCGCAAAUCCCACGCUGCCAAGAAAAGCUUCUAACGUUAAUAUAUGACUGCCCGUACUGUAAACCGACACAGGUGGUCAGGAUGAGAAAUCUAAGGCGGACAGGCUAACUCUCGUUAAGGAACUCUGCAAAAUAACCUCGUAACUUCGGGAGAAGAGGAGCCCUUGGGUGUUAGUAUCCAUGCGAUACAAAGCGCUCGAGGGUCGCAGUGAAGAGGCUCAAGCAACUGUUUAACAAAAACACAGGUCUAUGCUAAGCUGGAAGGCGAUGUAUAUGGGCUGACACCUGCCCAGUGCUGGAAGGUUAAGAGGAGGAGUGAGAGCUCCGAAUUGAAGCCCCAGUGAACGGCGGCCGUAACUAUAACGGUCCUAAGGUAGCGAAAUUCCUUGUCGGGUAAGUUCCGACCUGCACGAAUGGUGUAAUGAUUUGAGCGCUGUCUUGACGGGAGGCCUGGUGAAAUUGUAUUACCGGUGAAGAUACCGGUUACCUACAGUAGGACGGAAAGACCCCAUGGAGCUUUACUGUAGCUUGGUAUUGGGUUUUGGCAUUGCAUGUAUAGGAUAGUUGGGAGACUAUGAUGAUAUGGCGCUAGCUGUAUCGGAGUCAUCGGUGGAAUACCAACCAUUCAAUGCUGAAAUUCUAAUCUGUGGUUUGUAGCCACGGAGACAGUGCUAGGUGGGCAGUUUGACUGGGGCGGUCGCCUCCGAAAGAGUAACGGAGGCGUUCAAAGGUUCUCUCAGGUUGGAUGGAAAUCAACCAUAGAGUGCAAUGGCAUAAGAGAGCUUGACUGCAAGACUGACGGGUCGAGCAGAUGCGAAAGCAGGACAUAGUGAUCCGGCGAUUCCGAAUGGAAGGGUCGUCGCUCAACGGAUAAAAGCUACCCUGGGGAUAACAGGCUGAUCCUACCCGAGAGUCCAUAUCGACGGUAGGGUUUGGCACCUCGAUGUCGGCUCAUCGCAUCCUGGGGCUGGAGAAGGUCCCAAGGGUUGGGCUGUUCGCCCAUUAAAGCGGUACGUGAGCUGGGUUCAGAACGUCGUGAGACAGUUCGGUCCCUAUCCACUGUAGGCGUUAGAAUAUUGAGAAGACCUGUCCUUAGUACGAGAGGACCGGGAUGGACAAACCUCUGAUGUACCAGUUGUCACGCCAGUGGCACAGCUGGGUAGUCACGUUUGGAAUAGAUAACCGCUGAAAGCAUCUAAGCGGGAAACUAACUUCAAGAUAAGUAUUCU
rnacentral:rRNA from 1 species